CAAGGAGUGCCUCACCUGGGAAAGCCCGGUUCUGCCCUCCUUGCCCCUGGGUCCCCCCCGGAGGGUGAAGUACUCAGAGCCUGGGAACGUUUAGAGACCCUGCGAGCUGGGGGCGUUCUCAGCCUCCUCCUUGCUCACUG